rnacentral:rRNA from 1 species
UCGUCAAAGGAGGGGUCUGCGGCCCAUCAGCUAGUUGGUGAGGUAAUGGCUCACCAAGGCAAAGACGGGUAGCUGGUCUGAGAGGAUGAUCAGCCACACUGGUACUGGAACACGGACCAG